GGGCAUCUUCUAGGUGUUAGUCUCCAAAGCAUGAGUGAUCCAUCAGAUUCUUUGUAAACCUUUAUUAUCACUUCAUUUAUCAAUUACUUUCAUAAUUCUUUGGUUUCAUAAUUCUGUGGAAUUUGGAUGUUCUGUUUCCCAUAUACAUAAUCCUUGAUGCCAAAAGAUCAUGAAACUUGCUUUUUAAAUACAAUAGUAUUCUUUCAUCUUUUCUUUAGAUACAAAGACUUGCAUUGUUAUCUAACUGUUAAAGAGAAAUAAUUAUUUUGAAUUGAAAUUGUGUGAUUUAAUUAUGUGUGAUGACAAAGCUGUUGAAAUUGAGCUAUUUAAACUGCUUCUAGGGACUGUUAUUUGCAUUCUGAAUUGCAGGUAACUAAUAUGACAAGGGGACUUAUUGUUGAUGCAGACUGGACUUUAUCUAUUAUACAUACUCAUGUGUAGUUUAAUAUAUAUCCUCUGUCUUUGUGGAGCUUGGACUUUUUAUGCAUGGACUACAUAUUCCCACUGUUUUAUAACCGUGGCAAUAGAGGCCACAUAUUGCCACACUCUAUUGCCACGGUUACGCACAUGACCGUAGCAAUAUUUGGACUCUAUUGCCACGGUUACGACGUAACCGUGGCAAUUUCUGGCCUCUAUUGCCACGGUUACCAUUUACGACCUGUGGUAAUAGGCUAAUCAAUUGCCACGGUUCUCCCUUGAACCGUGGCAAUUGAGCAAUUGCCACGCAAGCUAUCGCCACGGUUAAACCGUGGCGAAAGGGCGUGCGGAACCGUGGCGAAAAGCCUUUUCUGUAGUAGUGAUUGUUGCAAAGGUGAACCGUUUGUGGCUAAGUCCGAGCUUAUAUGGAUCCAAGCUUCCAUUUUCCAUGGACAUGAUUCUUAUGGAUGACAAGAUUCAUGCUUCGGUUAGGAAGACUCUGAUAUACCGAUUCUAAUCUUUGCUAAGUGAAGGACGUGUAUAUCAGAUUUCGUUCUUUGGUGUUGGUGAAAGCGGUCGUGAUUUCCGACCAACCUCGCAUCCAUUCAAGAUCAACUUUGAUAUUCAUACAUAUGUGCGCUUGGUUCUCAACAAGGCCAUCAACUUAAGCCCGUACAUUUUUGUGUCAAUAUCUAAUAUAAUGUUCAAGUAUCUUGAUACGUCUUUUCUUAUAGAUGUCAUUGAAAUUCUCACUGGUGCAAGUGCUGAACAAGAGUUUGAAAAAGAUGGUGGGAAUCAGAAAAGAAUUACUAUUGAACUUGACCAAGAUGGGGCUCGGGUUUUAUGCGUCAUCUUGGAUCUGUUGAUGCAACUAAUGCUGUUGUUGUUGUGAGUUGUGUCAAAAUAAAGCCCUUUAAAGGUAAGACAAGUCUCCAAAAUGUUUAUGGAGCUACAAAGGUUCUUUUUAAUCCUCUCAUAGAAGAAACUGCCCCCCUCCAAACUCGGUUCUUGAAAUCACAUGAUAAUGCGGUGCAUGUCAUUAGUCCGCUGCAAGAUUCUGCAAAGAAAUCUACCCCUGAAGAUGAUUUUCUAAAGCAGAAUGAUGGGAAAACCAUCGAGCAACUCAAAGAUCUUGCACAGGUUUGGUGUUCCACGAGCGAUAGUUUUUGAAAAUGGAAUUCAAUUCACCAGCAAACAAACUCAGGAUUUUUGCGAUGGCAUGGGAAUUCAGAUGAGGUUCUCAUCAGUGAAGCAUCCUCAAACUAAUGGGCAGACAGAGGCUGCGAACAAGGUGAUUUUGAAGGGCAUAAAGAGGCGGCUAUAUGAAGCUGAAGGAAGAUGGAUUGAUGAACUCCCGAUAGUUUUGUGGUCAUAUAACACCAUGCCACAAUCAAGCAUAAAAGAAACACCUUUCUGAUUGACCUAUGGGGCAGAUACGAUGCUCCCUGUGGAAAUCAGUAAUUUCUCUUGGUGAACGAAAGCGCGACAUGAGGAGGAAAAUAGGAUGAACAUGGCGGUGGGGUGGGAAAAGCUCCCCGAAGGGGCGAUUUGAUAACGACAAAGUGUCAGGAAUUGCCUCGGAAAAGCCGGAUUUGAUUCGAUGAUUACAAAUGAUUUCACAUAUUUUCAACGUGAAUUCUUGAGGGGAGUGGCGAGGAGUACAGCUCGGCGGUUCAUCACACGGAGGAGGAGAUGCUGCAUUGGGGGCUCCCUCCUGACAUGGUGGCUGACCAGAAAUGGUUAGAGGAGUAUUCUUCUAGAUUAUUUUGAGAACACUGCAAUCAUGACUCACCUCAAAGUAGUUCGGUUGGGGCUUCGUUUUGUUUGUUUAUUUCCCGAAACAAGAUGGUCAGAACGAAGAAGAAGAGAAGGAAGGAAGAGAAUAUAGCUGAGGAUUGGUGCUUUGCUUGCAAGGAUGGAGGGCUCAUGAGGGUGUGCGAUUAUAGGACACGGUUGAGAAUUGAGAUGAAUGAGUAGUGAUCAAUUCCUAAAAUAUUACAUAGAUAUAAUUUGUCCUGUGAGUACUUUAUUUUUGAUACUUAAUUAACUGCACGUUGCUUAAAGGGAUUGUCUUAAAGCUUAUCAUCCUCAUUGCGUGGGAAAAGUUUAUUAGCUUACUUAGUUGUUUUUCUUUGCUGUUUUCUUUGCUAUUUUGUAAUUCCUGAAUUCAUUUGCUAUGAAGGCUCACUUGUUCCCAAGACAUUUGAUCUUUUAUAUAUAUUUCUCCCUCAAAAAAAAAAUUCUGGGAAUUAUGGUCAGAUGCCCCAG